rnacentral:lncRNA from 1 species
CGAUCCCAAAUCACCAUCCUCGGUACUGUCAUUCUCACCUUGCUCUCUAAAAACCUAAAUUCUCAACAAACCUAAAGUUUCUAUAAAUAUUUUCUUCGACAUUGCUAAACCAAAUCGCCAAUCCCCUCCCAACUCCCUCACUUGCAAAUUACAGUGCCAAAUCCCCAAAGUCCUCAAAACUCGGUUCCUAACUAGCAAAUCACCAGUAAAUGUUCCUCAAAUCUCGGCUAACCCAAAACUCCAGAAUCCCCAAAGUCCCAAACUCCAAUUUUUUUUUUGAGUCGCCAUUGAACCUUUGCGUGUUUUCGCUUGAUUUCAUGAUUUCAUCAGCCAUGGCCGCCGAGGUAACCCAAAAAUUUUCCAUGAAAAAAAACAAACCCUUGUUUAAUUUUGUUUUAGUCGUUUAUAUUUUAAUUUUCUAACUUCUUGUGAAUUCCAAGAAAUCACAAGAAUCGUUUAUUUUUUAAAAACAAAAAUUUUCCAAGACAUCUUCUUUUGCAUGUGAAUUCGGUUGUAGAAAAGAAUGGUGGAAAACCAUACACAAGCGACUUGUUCAAGGAUUUAAAGGUAUGUAUAUAACUAUUACUAAUUGGUUGUACUCCUUACACAUUUUACUUUUCAUCAAAAUCUUGUCUAGUUGCAAAUGUUGGUUGGAUAUAUCAAUUGAAUGUUUUUCCAAAGGAAUGUUCGUUGGAUAUCUACGAGGGAAAAACAGCUAAACAGAUAACGCUGUGUUAACAUAUUUGACAGGUAAAUUCUAAACUUC